rnacentral:rRNA from 1 species
UGGGGAAUAUUGGACAAUGGGCGAAAGCCUGAUCCAGCCAUGCCGCGUGUGUGAAGAAGGUCUUCGGAUUGUAAAGCACUUUAAGUUGGGAGGAAGGGCAUUAACCUAAUACGUUAGUGUUUUGACGUUACCGACAGAAUAAGCACCGGCUAACUCUGUGCCAGCAGCCGCGGUAAUACAGAGGGUGCAAGCGUUAAUCGGAAUUACUGGGCGUAAAGGGCGCGUAGGUGGUUUGUUAAGUUGGAUGUGAAAUCCCCGGGCUCAACCUGGGAACUGCAUUCAAAACUGACUGACUAGAGUAUGGUAGAGGGUGGUGGAAUUUCCUGUGUAGCGGUGAAAUGCGUAGAUAUAGGAAGGAACACCAGUGGCGAAGGCGACCACCUGGACUAAUACUGACACUGAGGUGCGAAAGCGUGGGGAGCAAACA